CUUUCUUCUAUCUCUGAUUGGAUGUCCUCCUGCUUUCUGAAACGGAAUCUUUCCAAAACAGAACUUCUUGUCUUUCCUCCUCCUAAUAUUAAUCCUCCUCUCUCGCUCUCCCUUCAGAUUGGUGGUACCCAUAUCAGCCCAUUCUUACAAGCACGUUGUCUCUGUGUUACUUUUGACUUUGGCCUCACCUUUGAGCCUCACAU